AAAAUCCGUCAAAAUCGGUACCUGCCGUGCGAUUCUCUAAAAUUCAAACAAGAACUCGCAUCUCACUACGAAAUUCUCCAUCACUUCGCAUUCGCAAUGGAAUGACCUUGAUUUGGCAUUCUGUAAACACUAAUCUUAAUUACCCUGCCUCGAGCGAAGUGAAGUGACAACGAAGUUUGUUUACAAUACUACUAGGGAUAGCCGUAUACACGCAAAUGUAAAUCGAAGCUUACCGGUUUCAGUUUUUCUUUGUAUUUAGAAGCAUUCUGUAAGAAAAUACUAUGAAUUUAAGCUUUGGUGUCUAAACCACAUCUAAUAUAUCUAAAAAGAAAAUUAAAAGUCAUAUAUUUGUGAAAUUAAUUGUAAUUUCUGGCUGUACGCUAAGUUCCUUUGCGUGCACUGGCGAAUACCAGAAUUAAAAAACAAAAUUUUAAUUGUUUUCAAAACAAUUUCGAGCGGUCGGAAGUUUUUAUUUUGCUUUUUCUAGAUUUGUUGUUACUUUGUGAGUGAAUUUAACGUUAAAUAAAAAUUAUGAGAUUUAAAGAGCGUUCUUCUCAUCCGACAUUGGCGCAAAUAGAGGCAUUGAUAAACGUUUUGGGUUAAAAGCUAGCGAAACAAAAGGAUUAAUCGAAUCUCAAAUGUUCAAUAAGAGAACAAGGAUAUUAAAAAAAUAUAGGAACUAAAUUCUCUUGUCAGUUAAGAUCCAUUCCCGGUGAGAUAUUUAGGACAUGUUAACAUAUAUUUAUGUAUGAUAUAUCUAUCUACUACGUUUUUAUUGAUGUUCUAUUUUAACAGGGCAUGAAGGUAAUUUAUUUGUAUCUCAAAUUCACCAACAAAAAAAUUAUUUUGAAUUAAAUAAAUCAAAUCAUUAACAAUUUAGGUUAUUUAGGUAUUGCAAGUUAGAUUGAUGUUGGAAUGUAUUUAUUGAUGCAGAGGUGACUGUAUCUAUGGUAAAGGGUGUGCAUACUGGUACAGGGGUGGCAGGCAGUGCCAGAGUAUUGACUAAACUGACAUUAUGUUGGCUAAAGGCUGCAUACUCAGUUUAAAAUAAAUGAACAAAAUUUUGGCAUAACCUAUUUUAUUAUAUUUAAGGAACUACAACAUAUUGAAAAUACUAAUCCACAUCAUCAGAAUAUUGUAAGGAGAAUUUAUAGCCAACUCGGAAAAUGUAUCAGUAUUGGAACAAUCGCAAACAUACAGCAUUUCAUCAAGAAUCACCUAUUUUGCAGUCAUCAUCCUCUAACUAAAUGCAAGUAACUUCUACUUAUUGUGAUGCUACUACUAGUAGCUCCAGCCACAGUAGGUCUCACAUGUUAGUCAAGAGAUUGGGUUGAUAUGUGUUUAUUCAGGUCAAAGUACCUAUUCAUUGAACCACCAUAUUAGGGACAUUGAUUUGUGUAUAAUGCUGUUACUUGUAAAUAAAAACAUUUUGUUGCAUGUAUUGUAAACAUUGUAUUUUACCUAACCUUGUUUUUAAAUAAAUUUAUUAUUUUUUUCAGCACCUCAACACCUGACCUGCUAUUUCACCACUUUUACAAUGAAAAGCAGAGUGUACUCAAAUUACUGAGAGAAUUUUGUGGAUAGAGGAACUGCAGGUGAAGAUUCAGGGUGUUCAUAUGUGUGUCGUCCAAAGCAUUUUUGAACACAGUACCAUAUAUAACUUAAUGAAACUUACAACCAUGGGGGAAUGAAUAGUCGACAAUCUGCAAGAAGGAUGAACUGUUGGUGGAAUUAGCACAUGCAGCUAGCAAUUUUAAACCUGGAUUUCCACAUAAGUUACUGAUGCAAACAAAUUUCAAAAUUAUUGUAUAUAACUAUUGAAUAAAACUAUUUUUAUAAAUCAUUAAUUUAUAUUUGAAGUUACUUCACACUAUAAGUUAGCUAAUUAGUAAAAUUUAACAAAGUAAUUCAACAUGACCACCAUAAUGUACAUGUAAUCUCAUCAUCUGAAAUCAUGGGAACUGGCAGCUCUGCACAAUUGCAAAUGUUGUGCAAAACACAACACGCAACAACUAUUUUUGCUAUCUUAUCAGGGUGGUAAAUUGGCACCCUAUAGAUCAGCAAACACCUGAAUCUACUCUUUAACAUACCUAUUGUUCUUUACACUGAGUUACGGGCAGUGGAAUGAAGGAGGUGCUACAAAGCUUCAGGAGUAUCUUCCUCCAUAUUAGCAAUAGCUAGCUAUUAUUAGCAGGUAUUGCUAGCAUAGCAUAGCAUUAUCGCCUAUUUCUUGCGUGAAGCAGUAAUGCGUUUCGGUUUGAAGGAUGGGGCAGCUGUUGUAACUAUACUGAGACCUUAGAAUUUAUAUCUCAAGGUGGGUGGCGCAUUUACGUUGUAGAUGUCUAUGGGCUCCAGUAACCAUUUAACACCAGGUGGGCUGGGAGCUCGUCCACCGAUCUAAGCAAUGAAAAAAAAAAUAGCAAAAGGUUGGAACAUUGACAAUAUACAGAAAGCCCGAAAAGAUGUUAAAUAAUUAUAAUGGUCAUUACUUGCUGUCAUUGACUAAUCUAGUAGGUAGAUUUUAUUUUGUUUUGAUUAUAACUGAAUAAAGUUUAUUUAAGAUAAAUACUAUAUUUCACAAUAACUUAUAGCAAUAUACACAAUUACAAUUUAACUGAAAUGAAUACAAUCUGAAUACAUAGGUUCUUAAUACACAUUUCGUUUAUGGAUUACAUAUCAGAAUUUCGAAAAAUAUUAAUAGCUUUACAAAUUGUAAAUUUCUUGCAUGAUAUUCUUUGCGACAGUAAAACCAUUUUUUAUUGGUAGCAGAUCUUUUUAAGGCCACCAACUUCCCAUCAAUACACCCAAUAACCCAAAGGAUUCUAAAUUUUUCAUAAAAACUGCAAUAUUUAGCAUUACAUUAAUAUUGGUAAUUUUUUAUGAAGAAAACAUUUUUUUAUUUAGCUUAAACCUCUCCUCCUCCUUGCAUCAGUUUCCUCAUUACUGAGGGUCGUGGUCAUGGCCUUGAAACGGUUUGUUUUUUAUAGUGCACCGCCAUCUGCUCCUAUUUAGCUUAAACCACCUUCUUCUUUUUUCUUUGCUUUUCCUUCAACUUUUGCCAUUCUUGAGCAUUCUGUGGGAAUCUUAAAUAUUUAUAUAUAGUUGCUGGGUUGUUCAGAGCCUCCACAACCUCAGAUAUACACUGGGAUGUUUAUGAUUUUUUUGGUAACUUCAAUUGGCCAAAAAUAACAAGGUGCACAAUAACUGAAACUAAGAAAUAAUCAUUAAACAAUACACAUAGUUAUUAGAGAAUCUAAUUUAUAUUCUUUCAAGAUAUUUUUGGUAGAUUAGUUUAGUGGUAUUGUUUUACAAUAAUGGGAGAGUUGGAUAUAAACAAAUAGGCAAACUUUAAUAAUAUGUUAUAAAGUACCUAUUUUGUACAUAAAGACAAAAUCUUACCACGUGGAAUACCUACCUUUAGAAGAGUUGAAAGUCCUUUUCAAUGGCUUUUAGUGGUCUUCAUCAAAGGGUGUAAUUCACACCCUAACUGGUUCAUAUGAUCCUUCGACAAUCUAUACACUUUCUUUAUACUUUUACAUGGUCGUCAUCUCAAGUUAAAAGUGAUAAAUUGUGAAUUUCGUAGGCUUGUCGACGCAUUUCACGCUGAUCCGUAGCGUCAGCCUCUUUCAACAAUGUUUUCAAUAAAAACAUACGCUCCACAAAGUAUCGAUGAAGAAUAAAGUUAUUUUAAAGUGCAAUUUUGUUAAUUAAUAGUAUUUUUUUAAUAAUUAACAGCGGUUUAUAACGUUUUCGUAUAUUCUCACUUACAACAAACACUUAAAACACUAACUUUUGAUUUGACAAAUAAAAUGAUUUCGCGAUGCGAAGUUCUUGCCGAAAUUCGACGUGAUUUACACUACAGAAUGCCGUUUCAAACGUCAACUCAUACAUUUUAGUAAAAAAAACUCACGCUUGCUAGUUCAAUUCACCCGCGAGGGGCGCUAGUGUAGAUUCGGCACUACAAUGAAAUUUACAGAAUGCCAAUUUGAAAACUCACACCAAAUUCACGUGCGAGUUUGUUAAACAACGCUUACAGAAUCGCACGGCUGUCCUACCUGCCGUGCGAUUCUCUAAAAUUCAAACAAGAACUCGCAUCUCACUACGAAAUUCUCCAUCACUUCGCAUUCGCAAUAGAAUGACCUUGAUUUGGCAUUCUGUAAACACUAAUCUUAAUUACCCUGCCUCGAGCGAAGUGAAGUGACAACGAAGUUUGUUUACAAUACUACUAGGGAUAGCCGUAUACACGCAAAUGUAAAUCGAAGCUUACCGGUUUCAGUUUUUCUUUGUAUUUAGAAGCAUUCUGUAAGAAAAUACUAUGAAUUUAAGCUUUGGUGUCUAAACCACAUCUAAUAUAUCUAAAAAGAAAAUUAAAAGUCAUAUAUUUAUGAAAUUAAUUGUAAUUUCUGGCUGUACGCUAAGUUCCUUUGCGUGCACUGGCGAAUACCAGAAUUAAAAAACAAAAUUUUAAUUGUUUUCAAAACAAUUUCGAGCGGUCGGAAGUUUUUAUUUUGCUUUUUCUAGAUUUGUUGUUACUUUGUGAGUGAAUUUAACGUUAAAUAAAAAUUAUGAGAUUUAAAGAGCGUUCUUCUCAUCCGACAUUGGCGCAAAUAGAGGCAUUGAUAAACGUUUUGGGUUAAAAGCUAGAGAAACAAAAGGAUUAAUCGAAUCUCAACAUGUUCAAUAAGAGAACAAGGAUAUUAAAAAAAUAUAGGAACUAAAUUCUCUUGUCAGUUAAGAUCCAUUCCCGGUGAGAUAUUUAGGACAUGAUAACAUAUAUUUAUGUAUGAUAUAUCUAUCUACAACGUUUUUAUUGAUGUUCUAUUUUAACAGGGCAUGAAGGUAAUUUAUUUGUAUCUCAAAUUCACCAACAAAAAAAUUAUUUUGAAUUAAAUAAAUCAAAUCAUUAACAAUUUAGGUAUUGCAAGUUAGAUUGAUGUUGUUGGAAUGUAUUUAUUGAUGCAGAGGUGACUGUAUCUAUGGUAAACGGUGUGCAUACUGGUACAGGGGUGGCAGGCAGUGCCAGAGUAUUGACUAAACUGACAUUAUGUUGGCUAAAGGCUGCAUACUCAGUUUAAAAUAAAUGAACAAAAUUUAGGCAUAACCUAUUUUAUUAUAUUUAAGGAACUACAACAGAUUGAAAAUACUAAUCCACAUCAUCAGAAUAUUGUAAGGAGAAUUUAUAGCCUACUCGGAAAAUGUAUCAGUAUUGGAACAAUCACAAACAUACAGCAUUGCAUCAAGAAUCACCUAUUUUGCAGUCAUCAUCCUCUAACUAAAUGCAAGUGACUUCUACUUAUUGUGAUGCUACUACUAGUAGCUCCAGCCACAGUAGGUCUCACAUGUUAGUCAAGAGAUUGGGUUGAUAUGUGUUUAUUCAGGUCAAAGUACCUAUUCAUUGAACCACCAUAUUAGGGACAUUGAUUUGUGUAUAAUGCUGUUACUUGUAAAUAAAAACAUUUUGUUGCAUGUAUUGUAAACAUUGUAUUUUACCUAACCUUGUUUUUAAAUAAAUUUAUUAUUUUUUUCAGCACCUCAACACCUGACCUGCUAUUUCACCACUUUUACAAUGAAAAGCAGAGUGUACUCAAAUUACUGAGAGAAUUUUGUGGAUAGAGGAACUGCAGGUGAAGAUUCAGGGUGUUCAUAUGUGUGUCGUCCAAAGCAUUUUUGAACACAGUACCAUAUAUAACUUAAUGAAACUUACAACCAUGGGGGAAUGAAUAGUCGACAAUCUGCAAGAAGGAUGAACUGUUGGUGGAAUUAGCACAUGCAGCUAGCAAUUUUAAACCUGUAUUUCCACAUAAGUUACUGAUGCAAACAAAUUUCAAUUAUUGUAUAUAACUAUUGAAUAAAACUAUAAUAAAACUAUUUUUAUAAAUCAUUAA